rnacentral:tRNA from 1 species
GCUCAGUCGGUAGAGCGCAAGGCUCUUAACCUUGUGAUUGUGGGUUUGAGUCCCAC